GAUGAAGAACGUAGCGAAAUGCGAUAAGUAAUGUGAAUUGCAGAAUUCAGUGAAUCAUCGAAUCUUUGAACGCACAUUGCGCCCGCCAGUAUUCUGGCGGGCAUGCCUGUUCGAGCGUCAUUUCAACCAUCAAGCCCCAGGCUUGUGUUGGGGACCUGCGGCUGCCGCAGGCCCUGAAAACCAGUGGCGGGCUCGCUGUCACACCGAGUGCAGUAGUUUACUCUUCGCUCAGGGCGUGUGGCGGGUGCUAGCCGUGAAACCCCCAACUUCUCAAGGUUGACCUCGGAUCAGGUAGGAAUACCCGCUGAACUUAAGCAUAUCAAUAAGCGGAGGA
rnacentral:misc_RNA from 1 species